CCAUCCUCUGUUCUUCAGGUAGCUCCACUAGUGUGCUGCAGUAUUGUAAGGAUAGUGAUAUGGAAAUAAACAGGUGCAUUACCUAACAGUGAGUUUGAUUUUGUUCUGGUGUGUUCCAAAUAGUGUUGUGACUCAAAAGAUUAGCUUAACUUCAAGUAAAUAUCAUAAAUAUUAAAGAAAAUGUUUCUAGUUAAGUUCCUGUUGUACAACUUAAUAAAAUAGACAACUAAGCAUAGAGGAGAACGAAGCCAUGUAAAUAGUUGUGGUUGAUGGUUGCUUCCUAGAAACUUAAUAAAACAUUCAGUUUUAUGAUUCACAUUUUAGUAUUCAGAUUUUAGGUUGACCUCAUUGUGCUAUGGGAGUAGUAUAGUUGUCUAUGGAAGUCCACUUCCUGGUCACUGCCCUCCACAGCUUGCACAUUCCUUGGCAGUUCAGAGAUCUGACUCCGUUUGCCCAAGGACAAACAAAACUCUACUAUGUGCGUAGGAAUCUAGAGAAAGUGAGCAGAAGCAAUGGCCCUGUGCAUUGGAAGUGUUAGACCAGCUCCUCCUGGAAAUCUGAAAGCAUGGCUCCUGUUUUAGUCAGUCUUUUCUCCUCUGUGACCAAAAGACAUGAAAAAAACAAUUCUAGAGAGGGAAGGAUUUAUUUGGUAAUCACAGUUUCAGAGGUCUCAGUCCAUAGAUGGCCAGCUGUUAGCCAGAGGUGAGGCAGAACAUCAAGGUGGAAGGGCCUGGUGAGGAAGGCAGCUCAGGACAUGAUAAUCAGGGUGACUUACCAGGGACAAAGUAUAAACCCCAAAGGCAUGCCCCCUGUGACUCCCCUCAGCCAGCCACACCCUACCUGCCUACAGUUCCCACCCAGUGAGUCCAGUCAGGUGGAUCAGUGCCUGAUCAGGGUAAGGCUCUCACAACCCAGUCAUUCCACCUCUCAGUUUCCUGAACUCUGGGGGACACCUCGCAUCCUAAUCUUGGCUCUUUUCCCUGAGACUGCAGCCCGGACAUGGCAUUUUGUGUGGUUCCUGUCCAUGCAGGACAUACCUUUGACUGCCUGUCAGGAAGCCCUGAUCUGAAAGAUUGUCCUCCCUUUACUUCUGCCCUUGCUUCAAUUUUGCUCUCUCCCACUGUCAGUAGUUCUCUGUCACCUUGGAGUGGGAUGUCUACCCUGGAAGGAUGUCGAUUGCCUCUCCAAACAGCUCCUGCUCUGAGUUGAGAACUUCAUAAAGAAAUAGACCAGAACUCUCUGCAGAGGCUGCCCCCAUUUAGGCAUGUACAAACUAGAGCCCAAGGCUUAUACAUAGUGAUGCCUCUUGCUGGAGAAGGUUUUGUUUCACAAUAAGUGAAAUAUUGUUUUUAAAAUGAGCAUGCUUUUUUUCCCUAAAAAUUCUGGUUAUUAUGAAUUCUUUCUCCCUAAGUGUGAAUUUUUCUCAUAUCUUGGGUGUAAAAUGUGUACUUGAAGCUAUAAUAGUUGCUAGAAAUUUGAGAUUCAUUGUUUUGUGACUUUUAAAUUUGCAGCACAUUUUCAGGAAAAUAGUCAAGGUUUCCAGAUUCCAUUUUAUUCCUUUCAGAUUUUGUGAAUGUCUGAUUAUCUCUGAAUUUUAUUAAUUCAUUUAUAAGUUUAGGAAAGACUAUCUUCAGUUAGAAAAGUAUUUCAACACAAAGGUCCAUUUGAACAGCUCCACAGUGAAAUCACAGACCAUCUGCUUGGUAUGUCAUUCACGGGACUUUCCUGCAAAAUUCAGCUUCACUCAGAAGGUCAUCCUUGGAAAACGAAGAAGUCUGAAGAGUCUCUGCUCUUGGGACUAAGUGAACAGAAGGGCGUGUGUCCUCAGGGUAACAGUGCAACAUAUCCUGGAAGCAUCUUGGACCGCAUCGCUGUUGGUACGUGAGGCAAAACUUGACCUUCGUUUACGAAUUGGACCUACAAGGUGUAAGCUGAUCUAUAUAACAUAGAUUUAAUGUACGCAAAAUACAACCUUCACCCCAAAACAUUUCUGUCAGUACAGUCUGUUGUUAAUAACCCACACUGGUAGAGGGGAGCCUGGAUCAGACAACUUAACUGAAGUCAGACAACAUUCAGGAUUUGAAGGUAUUUUUGUAGUUCAUUUUAGCAUACAGUGUUUGGGAUUCUACACAUGUGCCUUACAAUUUUCUGUCCCCAGAGAGAGGGACCUGAGAGAGGAGCUCGAAUUGAUCCAUGCUUCAGAUACCCAUUUUACUGGGGAGAAAACAUCAAGCACAAGAUUCUAAAAUUGGGUGGAGUCCUGUGACAUUUCUCCUGCUUACACUUUCCAAGUAAAUUUAUUACAUUUACUUCUAGCUUUUCAGAAUGAUGCCCAGUUUUAGUCACUGCCUUAAGACCAUCCAGGUCAGUCUUCCCUCCUGUGGUCAGGUGUUAUUCUGCUGAAGAUGAGAGUUUUCAGCUGUUUCAUUGUGAGAAUGCGCCUACUGCCUUUUAUUCUACCUCCCUUCCUAUGGGGAGUAGACUUGUUCUAGUCAUAGGUGUCUUUCGCCUCUAAGGUUUGCCUGUAAUAAUUCAUGGAUUCUAAAUGUGGCCUUUUGGUUGUGCUGUUGAGGUGGUCUCCACGGGACAAUUGCUCUUCUCUGGGCAUGGCUCAGGGUGGUUUCCAGCCUUUCCUUCCAACCACUGCAUUCUCCUCAGGCUAGGAGUGGGUCUUAGCACGCCCCAGGGGUGGGAGGAUGCAGAGCGACUCUGGAAGCUGGCUAGCUCCUCCAUCAGUUAAGGAGAUAGCUGAAGAAAGCCACCUGUUUACCUCAGGUGCUAUUAAAAACACAUGUGCAGAGAAGGCCACGGUUUUAGGCCCACAUGAACCCACAUUGAAUUUGCAUUGUCUGUUCAGGUGUGUCUUACUCUAAAACAAUUACAAUAAUAACAACCCUUUAAAAAAAAUUUCACAUACCACUGAUUAAGAUACUGAAUUUUUUCUUGUAGUUUUCAGAAACAUUGCAGAUGUGUUUUGUGUAAGAGAAUAUAUUGUAUAUAAUAAUUUUCUGACUCUUGCUCUAAUAAAAAUUAAGUUGUCUAAUUAUUCAAA
rnacentral:lncRNA from 1 species